rnacentral:rRNA from 1 species
AAACGAUUGAAGUCAGUCGUGUUCAUUGGACUCAGCCAGUUCUUCUGGUCUAUUUCCUUUGAACGGGUCAACAUCAGUUUUGUCCGGUGGAUAAAGGUAUUAGGAAUGUGGCUCUUUCGGGAGUGUUAUAGCCUAGUAUUGCAUACACUGGGGGAGACUGAGGACUGCAGCUCGCCUUUUGGCCGGGGUUCGCCCACGUUCGAGCUUAGGAUGUUGACAUAAUGGCUUUAAACGA